GACGAACGCUGGCGGCGUGCCUAAUACAUGCAAGUAGAACGCUGAAGAGAGGAGCUUACUCUUCUUGGAUGAGUUGCGAACGGGUGAGUAACGCGUAGGUAACCUGCCUUGUAGCGGGGGAUAACUAUUGGAAACGAUAGCUAAUACCGCAUAACAAUGGAUGACACAUGUCAUUUAUUUGAAAGGGGCAAUUGCUCCACUACAAGAUGGACCUGCGUUGUAUUAGCUAGUAGGUGAGGUAAUGGCUCACCUAGGCGACGAUACAUAGCCGACCUGAGAGGGUGAUCGGCCAAACUGGGACUGAGACACGGCCCAGACUCCUACGGGAGGCAGCAGUAGGGAAUCUUCGGCAAUGGGGGCAACCCUGACCGAGCAACGCCGCGUGAGUGAAGAAGGUUUUCGGAUCGUAAAGCUCUGUUGUAAGUCAAGAACGGGUGUGAGAGUGGAAAGUUCACACUGUGACGGUAGCUUACCAGAAAGGGACGGCUAACUACGUG
rnacentral:rRNA from 1 species